rnacentral:rRNA from 1 species
UACUACCGAAGCUACGGCAUCAGUAAUGAUGGGUAGGGGAGCUUCCCAUACGGGUUGAAGCAUGACCGUAAGGACAUGUGGACAGUAUGGGAGUGAGAAUGUUGGCAUGAGUAGCGAGAUGUGGGUGAGAAUCCCACAGGCCGUAAACCCAAGGUUUCCAGGGGAAGGUUCGUCCGCCCUGGGUUAGUCGGGACCUAAGCUGAGGCCGAAAGGCGUAGGUGAUGGACAACAGGUUGAUAUUCCUGUACUACCGAUAACCAUUUGAGAGAAGGGAUGACACAGUAGGAUAAGCUAAGCACACUGUUGGUUAUGUGUGCCCAAGCAUUGAGGCAGUCAAAGUAGGCAAAUCCGCUUUGAUAAUGCUGGGAUGUGAUGGGGAGCGAAAUU